UGAACGCCACGUCUAUUCCCUUCUCAAGAAAAUCCUUCAGCUCGAUGGUUUUGCUCUUGAGCGUGCAAGCGUUCCAGUUGACCAAGCCCACUCUAGCAGCCAUUUUAAAUUAUGAACAUGCCAAAAAUGAAGACCUGCUCGAAUUGGGCUUUGCAACCAUGCAGCCGAGUGGCGAGCUGCGAUCGGCAUCAAUGGCUCCGGGGUGUAAAGCGGGGCAGAUUCUUCCGAUGGGACACCUUCGAUAUCCGGCUGUCGCCGUAAUCCAGCAGAAGGAAGUGGGGGCCAUUCAUUGGUAGAUAGAGCAGGUGGUGUUGGAACUUGAACCGACGCAACUCGAAACGGGAUGGCCAGAUAGUUAAACUCGUUGGUUGUUGGUACUCAGUUCUUACUUGAGAGCGUCCUAGUGGAAGCCUUCUUACGGAUUUUCACUUUCGUUGCCAAUCCUACUUCCUCCAUAAUUUAUUCUGGCUGAUAAUAAAUUUGAAUCACUUCAUCCGAAGGUAGCACUGACGAAUCGAAAGCUUGGAAAUUUAGUACACAACUGAUGACAGCUAAAAAGUCAACAAGAGGACAAAACCGCAUAUCUUAAAAAAAAGAAUUUUAAUUCAACAAAACUCAGCAAAUACAAACCUAAAGAAUACAAAUGCAUUGUAGAGCAACUACGAGAGCUUAGACCAUUUUAGAGACCUCUCCAUAUUUUUAAGACGAAUCAAGGACGACAAAUGUUACAAACUUGUGUGAGUGUGUGAAUGGAAUUUGUUUAUUUAUUUAAUUGUCAAACACGUCAAAUGGGCCUAAGAAGAUGAACGAUAUAAACGAUAUUUUUGCGCUUAUUCAAAGAUGGAGUUUCUUUUCUGUUCCUAUUGAGAAAGCAUUGCGAGGGUCAUCUAUUGUUACACCGUUUGAAAUAUAUUGGCUUUAUUCGCGUUCAUUCAUAGCUUGGACCAGAUUAAUCUUCCCACGGUUAUCCUAAACUGUCUUAUCACUGUCCACUAUGUUUCAACAAUGUGACCCUGCCGGGGGCCGGCAAUCACCGCAGGGGAAUUACAAGGAAAUCUUUACUGUACAUGGUUCAUUGUUUGGAACAACUAAACGGUAGUCUUGAUUGGUUGGCUUUACAGAGCUGUGGUUGUGCCUGACGCUUGCGGUUGAGUAGCUUCUAGUUUUAACUCAGCAUCGGUAGUAAGUAUGAUAUGUAAAUUGCUAAAUGUGGUUACAAUUCGGUUUCGUUUUUUUAAGGCAAACAAAUUAAGUAUUGAGUUUUCCGUGUAGUGAAAGCUAAACUUAAUAAGUGCACGCGUUUUGACCGCCAUUUGGCAAUCGCACUCGAUUGUAAAUCUGCGUCGUGUAUCAUUUAUAAAUAUGUGUUUUUGAUCGUAACGGAUCUGGACCGCACCGCACUGAAGUUGAUUUUUCUCAUUUCUGGCGCACUUUUGGUAAAUAAAUUAAUUUACAACUACUUAUUACAGAACGGUUAAGAAAACAAACGUGUUGCGUUCCCUAAUCCAUCUGCAAUUCAAUACACUCCAUUCGUCUAGUUUUUUUUUUCAGUCUUCAAUAUAUACAGAAUAUGAUUGUUACAUUGGAACAUCCUAGCUAAUAGUAUUUUUUUUCUGCGUUCAAUUAACCAAUUGGCAUCCACUUUGGGCGAACAGUCCACACCAUGCUGAUACGGUACUAAAAUGGCACUAAAGUGGCAUCAUAUCAGCAUUAUCCGAACCGUUUCGUCCCGCACGUGUGGCUAUUUAAUUAUCUGAUAUUGUAUAAUUAUAAAUUAUAAUGAAGUUCUCUAGCGCCUAGCUCGAAGGAAGAUUAGAUUGCAAUCGUUUACAGCAAUUAGGAAAUUACCGACUGACAAUAACAUUUGAUCGAUAUAGGCUCGUCCUUACCGCUAACAAUGAUCCAGAUCGAGAGCUUUGCUCUCGACGAUCGCUUACUGCUACCUAACGUUGUGCUCUAAGUCUAACAGAGGAAAUAACUAGUCACUGAAAUUUAACAUCACCGGCUUAAAACUAUGACUUUACAUUGUGAGGAAGAUUCAGAAAAUUCAAUUAAAAAACUUAUCGAACAAUUGUACGCCGUGCAUUGGAGGGGUUAGUCAAAGUGUGGAAGAUAGGUGAUAGCAGCAGGGGAAGUGGACCAAUAAAUAGCGUCUGCGUUCGGUAAUGGUGGCUUGCAGGAUCUGUACUGCCGUGAAUCGCAUAGUUGUCCCAUAUGAAUAGGAAACCCAGCAAAGAUGGGACAGAUAUGCGAUUCACGGCAGUGUAGAAAUGUGAAAAAGCACAUGAAUUGAAAAAUUAUUUGAAAAAUUGGUUUCGAAUUUGACGACAAUUUUUCAAAUCUAAUAGCAAACCCUCGCAUCACGCUGUCUUAACCGUUUUAACGCGUUGUUUUUCGAGGGCUGGCUAUCAUGUUUUGAUUCGUUGUUUGCAAAAAACCAAUAAUCCUUUUUGACAAUUUUUGUUGUUGCAGCAGUGAUAUUUGCUUUACAAGACCGCUACCGAACAUAACUGAAUUGCCAAACCAUAUGCUAGAAUCAGGAAAAGGUAAGUGUACAGAAAUGCGUUGCAGUAUUAGGAAAUUUAAUAAACUCUCGUAAUGAGUUGCGAGGAUUAUUUGAGAAGCACACAGCUGAAAUCCAGCCUAACGACUUGAUAUUUGUAUAAGCACUAAUCACGUAUAAAAAUCCAAGUAAUUAGAUUACAUCGAAGUGAUUUAGAAUGGGGACAGAAAUAGGGGUACUGCCCAAAUUUUCUUAUUCCCUAUUACAGGGCGAUAUUGAUGGAAGAAAAUCCUCUCGAUUAAAACUAUCCAUUCGGAAAGAUACAAAUUCAGAGUCAAACGCAAAGGGGUGCAAAAACUUGGUUUUAGAGAAUAGAGUGCAAAGAUUUUCAAUAUUUUUCAUACAAAUUAAAUAGAAACUCAAAAAUUAAAAAUUUUCUGUGAAUUUUCACAUUUAUUAUGAACAUUGUACAAACUAUAUCAGCAUAUUGCCGCAAAGGUCUAGAACCAUAGCAUUUUUCGCUAUAGCCAACUUAGUUUUGACAAAAAUGUCACUUGCACUCCUCUGCUUCUAACAAGUGGGUCAAUCGUUCGUUAGUGGGUUUGCAACUCAAACUCACUGAUUAUUUGGGUCAGUCACUCAAUUUUGAUCCUUAAAUAUAAUGUACCUAUCCAUCAUAUACGUUUUUCAAAUCGAACUCAAUGUCUCAUAUCUCUUGGAAAAUGAAAUUAAUUUCAAUCUAUUCGGCUGGUUUCAUUUACGAAAGUAACCAUUUUAAGUCUCAAUUUUAUUUUGUUUAUGCGAGCAAGCGAUGCAGUUUAUUGUACUCCCAAGUACCGUUUUGACUGAAAUCGGCGUUUCAGGCACCCCUAAACACUCAAAACCUCAUCAAAGCUCACACCAAUUACGAAUACAAAACAUAGCACCUAGGCUUGCUAAUCGAUGGAUAAGAUUUCACCUUAAUUGAGUACAAGAACUUCCAAAUGUUGCUUGAAACUGGUGAAAUUGGGUGGAGGAAAACUAUUGCAAGCUUUUAAUCAGCAUCUCAAGACCAUAACUUGCUUUCAAGAUGUUUCACUUUCUAAUGAAAAAUAAUUUGCCGAAAUCCUAAUUCAGUGAUCCCCAAAAAGUGAUCCCCGUUUGCGGCCCUUGAAACCAAUGGACCAAGAUCCUUCUAUCACCAUAAUUAAAUAAAUUUCUACCUUCAUUGAUGUUAUGUAGGCUAACGGUAACAUACUUUGAUGGUAUUGUGUAUUUUUUGCGCAGAUUAAAACGAGCUAAAUAUUGAACGGCAGGUAAAAAAUAUGUUUUACUACACUGCUUCUUAAUAAGAAUACUUUUAAUCUUCAAGAUAAGUUGAGAUGUGACAAGUUCAACUGAAAGUUGUUUGAUUUUUAACACCAGAAAAUGUUGAAAUCAAGAUUUUGUCAUUUUGCGAUUUAGUAGGAAUGAUGAAGUUUUUUUUGUUCUUAUCUUUUGUCUUUUAUAAGUUUGAGAUAUUCAAUCGGGAUUAUAUCUGCAUUGUUCGUCGUUUCGGCCCGUUUAUUGCGUCUUUUUCCUGAUAGGCUUUUCUGUUGGAAAAGACCCAAUAAACGAGCCAAAACAUCGGGCAAUGCAGAUAUAUAAUCCUGUUUGAAUAUCUCAGACUGAGAAACUCAGAAAAUAAGUACUGCUAAUAAGCUCAGUUCAAACUCUUAGAAUCGGUCAGCAGAUGAUCAUUUGGUAAAUAACUUUUAAUAUAUUCUACCAAAAAAGCCGAAAAAAUGUUUUUGCGUAAGGAUUUUUUCCCCCUUAAAUCCGCACACUUAAUUUUUUUUACCAGGAUCUCAGCAAUUUGUUGAACUUUUACCGAGAUUCCAGCCGUGCCCCAGCAAACGUGUUUUUUGCCGAGAUUUCUGUCAAAAUUGCUGAAAAUCAGCAAAUUAUUUGCCGAAAAUUAGCUAACAAACGUUGUUUUUACCGGGAUAUUAGAUUUUAUUUUGCUGGGCAAACGGCUGUGCGGAUUUUGCCGAGCUGCAGAAAUAAAAACUGAGUGUGCGCUAUCGCAAAAGUAUCUAAUAAUAUCAACAAAAAGUCAGCUACGGCAAUAAAAUCUGAAGAAUGUAAUGCCCUUACAAGUAUGUUAUUUGAAAAAGAUUCAAAAAGAUUUGUGUACUCCAAAUGUUUAAAUAUUAAAUACAUAUCAAUAUUAUUUUGUAUUAUGCUUUAAAAUUCAAUACGAAAUAAAAAACAAAUAUUGCAAAUAUGGUAACCAACUUUAUUUGGACUCCUGCACAUUUUAUACCCUCCUGGCGAUAUUUUCUUGAUUUCUGAACUAAAAUCAAUGCUGCUGCUAAUUCCCACAUUGGCUUCAGAAAAAUAGUAUUGUUCAGCAUCUGUCUCACUGGUUUCCCGUGCGAAAAAAGCGAUAAUAAGAUGAAAUUUCGAGGACAUUAGUUUGUUCAAGAAGGCGAGCGUUACAAUGCGUUACGCUUAAAAGUCUACAUCAAUGAAAAUCUCGGAACGCACACAAUAAGUUUUUGUCGAAAUUGUGAAUUUAAAACGCAGGAAUGUUCUCAUUGAUGCAUGCCAAUCGAAAGAUACGACUUUGCUUCGACUCAAUUGACCAGAGUAAAUUAGAAAUUCGUCUUUGAAGAGACUAAAUUGGGGUGUCCAAAAUGUGUACAUUCGGAGGUUCAAAAUGUGUUGCACUGUCCAAAACGAAGAAUAUUUUCAUUUCAUAAAUUGGAAAAUUUCACCGGCUUAUCAAUAACCGAAGCCCUCUUCAAAUUUCUGUUUCAUAAAUAAGACUUUCAUCUUUGAAAUGGUGUCAUUUCCGCCCGUAUCGAACUUGUAGUUCAAUAGAUACUAGCAUAUCCAGCUUUCCACGCUCGCCAUAAUGGCGGAUGCUAUAAUUUUUUUGACAUUAACUUCUUCCCGACACUGAACUAGAAUUUUGGUCUAAGUAAACAUUGAUGUUAGCCGUUACCAUUAGAAGCCAAUGCGUUGUUUGUUUACCAUCAAUAAGAAAAAAUUUGGCGAUGAAUGUUUUUCGACAAAUACUAUUUAUAUUACUAACUUUUGUUGCUUUUGUUUCGUUCUGGUUAUUAAGAUACCCUACUUAUGAGGCCAACGCAUUUAUAGAAUGGACAUCGAAAUAGUUCCCGCUAGCUCGUAUUUUUGGACAUGAUAUUUACCCCCAGGACAGUACUCUAUUGAUAGAGAUUACAAAUAGUUAUUAAAAAACAACAUGCUGGUCAUGCAGAAAUUGGAGAGAUUCUUUGAUGUCAAUGUUACUUAAAAUUUACACUGAACAGAAUUAAAAGACCAGAUUUUGGAGUAUUGAACAACUGCACAUCAUAAUUUUAUUUGGCCUACAUUGGAGGUCUUUCGCUCUCCGUGGCUUAGGAUACAGCUGGGACCGAGGCUGGGACUUAGUACGUGAAGCUCUCAUAACUUCGUCCACACAGCUAAAUAUUUUAUAAAUUUAUAUCCUAUGUGUGCAUUCAAAUUGUUCAGCGUUUGAAAAGAACGACACCAGUUCUCCCUUUUCUUUUCUUUAUUUGAAAACUGGGUCCUUCCGAUACAUAAUAGGUUUUGCCUCUCACGAGUGGUGUAUAUGAUAAAAGUAUCAAAAAAAUUCUUAAAACCAGAUUUAUUCUUUAGCAAUGAAAUGUUUCAACAAUCCAGGCCAGGUAUUUCUACUCAGACAGCGAAUCAGUUUUGUAAAAUAAGGUAAAAUAUUUUAUUGUUUUAAAAAUUGUUAGAGCUUUAUCUACGGAACUCCGGUUAUUGCCCAAGUCACGAAGAGUAAAUGAUUUUCGACGUGGAUCAAAUAAAUUUAUGAUGAGCGUGAGAGGUUCCGAAAAAUGGGUCUUUCGGAGGCUUACUGCAAAUUGCUCGUGUCUUGCUUCAUAUUAAAAGGUACAAUCUUCAUUCAAAUUCUUCGGAUGUGGUUGUAUUUACCUUUUUGGAAUUCCACUUUACACUGGAAAUGUACUGAUUAAUCAAUUGUCGUUCCUGAGGGUAUGCUAUUUCGUUCAAGCAAUAAAUGUGUAUCACCCAACCAGGGGAUGGCAGAUUUUAAUACAGUUCUGUAUAAGAACCUUACAGAAACUGUAUAAUAAUUUGGCAUAUACAAUUCUGUAAGCUUUUUAUACAAACAUUGUAUUAAAAUAAUACAGAAUUGUACUAUUUUUAUACAAUAUUUGUAUAAAAAGCUUACAGAAUUGUAUAUGCCCAGAUUUUAUAAAAUAAUUGUCAGAUUUGUUUUUUGGGUGUAGGCCUCAUAAUAUAGCGUUAUUAGGUUAUCUAUAUAUCUAGAAUAAAAGAAAAAAAAUAACGUUAGUAGUAUUAGAGAUAAAAAGAGUAUUUUUCGAAAGAAAUUGAUCACCAAAUUGUUCCUUGUUGACGGUAAACAAACAACGCAUUUGUUGUUAGUGGUAACGGCAAACAUCAAUGUUUGCUUAGACUAAAAUUUCAGUUCAGUGUCGGGAAGCAGUUAAUGUCAAAAAUUUUAUAGCAUCCGCCAUUAUGGUGAACGUGGAAAGCUGGAUAUUGGGAAGCACUUUCUCUAGGGGUCCAAAAUAGGACAGUUACCCUAUCUAUAUUGCGGACCGCUUCAAUAGGGCACUGCACGGAAACAUCUCUUUCUCUUUCGUUCCUCAUAAAUUUUGACGUUUACUGGCCUUGUUGUUUUCUAAUUUCUUUGCAGCGAGAAAGAGACAAAGCAGUACGUGCAGUGCCCUAUAGCCCAAAAAUGAUGUGCGACCCACGAUAGUAAGCAGACUGGGGAACACUGGUCUAUUACAAAGAGUUGCGCAAAGAGUGAAGCCAAAACUAUCUAUUGAACUGUCAAACCGUCUACCUAUAUCGAGCAAAGUAAACAAAUAUCUGUUGGUAAGGCGGAAGGAGGCCUUCCUUAGCCGUGCGGUAAGACGCGCGGCUACAAAGCAAGACCAUGCUGAGGGUGGCUGGGUUCUAUUCCCGGUGCCGGUCUAGGCAAUUUUCGGAUUGGAAAUUGUCUCGACUUCCUUGGGCAUAGAAGUAUCAUCAUGUUAGCCUCACGAAUGCAAACAUUGUAACCUGGCUUAGAAACCUUGCAGUUAAUAACUGUGGAAGUGCUUAAUGAACACUAAGCUGCGAGGCGGCUCUGUCCCAGUGUGGGGAUGUAAUGCCAAUAAGAAGCAGAAGAAGUUUGGCCGAGUUGGAAAUUUAGUAAAUACUAUAGAUAGUGGAAUAUAUAGAUGAGCGAAGAUAAGUCCACUGUCUCCAAACGAACUGUCAAACGUGUCUCCAAACGAGCAUGACGUCACAAUUUCAAUGAAAACCUUAAGGGCUGUGACGUCAUAUGCGCGUGUGCACGGGCAAAAAAAUCGACUCAGCCAUGCUUUCGCUCAUCUAUAAAUUCUACUAUUUAUAGUAAAUACCAAUCUAUACACAUUUGACCGAUUCUUCAACACAAGAAGUUUUUAAGGGAGAGAAAGUACUCGAGAAAAUCAUAUCAAACGUAAGACAUAGUAUACUCUGGCAGAGGAAAAAAAAGUAGCGAAAGUUUUGAAAAGUUUAAUAAAAAUGUUAAAAGACUAAAAAGCAAAGAAUUGAGAUUUUUUCCUUGCCUAAAUAUUACAAAAUUAUAGGCACAACCUUUUUCCCACUUCUAAACAUUGGCCACUUAUUGAUUUGAUGUGUUUAGCACUGGGGUUGGUUGGCCGAAUUUUUCCGCCGCAUUUGUUUGUUUAUUCCUUUUUCCUCAAUUUGUUUUCAUCGUUGAAAGUAUGUCACAAUUGUGCUCUAGACUUGUGUAUUUAUGACAGUGUAAAGCUUUUUUCGAAAAGACGGACAUUCCGAAAGUAAAUCUCGGCCAACCAGCCCCGGUCUCCCCUACAAUACCCAUAUAACGGGUUCGCUAAUCAGCAGCAUCUGCAUUAAGGCUUUGUAGCCUGCUCUGAUUGCUCUUGUAGCCUUGCUAACCGUCAAAGAAGUCUGAGUCAAAUUCAGUAUCAAUAUCAGACCUCUAAACGAUAUUCAACCCAAACAACGGCGCAACGAUUCAUUGGAUUGAUCGUUGCUAAACGUUGAUCAAUCGCGCCGGGAUAGUGAUAGGAAAAUAAUAAUAAUGCUACCGGAAGAAAGAGAUCGGCAGGAGUAAGUAUAAGUCUGUAAGAUCGGCCUUUUCUACAAGCCAGCAAUAAUAGGGGUGGUGCUUUUUCCUUGUUAGCUGACUAUGUCGUGGUAUGUGGGUGGCAAGGGCGUGAAGAAGAAAUGGAGUGGUCAGCAUGGCGGGCGCCCGCCGGUAAACUUUGUCACCAUCUGUCUGAACAGUAUGUGUAUGUUAAGCAGGAUAGAAUAAAUAUAAGUAGUUUAAUGAAUCAUUCCAUUUUUUUUCUGUAAGGCUGAAAUUUUUUCCUUGAUUUGGGAUAGUUUUAAUGCCAAAGGUCAAAUUGGGUUUCGGAGGAUCAAGUCCUGUGUGCCUCUUCCUACUUAUUGUAUCUCGUCUUCAUGUCUCAUGCGAUCUUCUGGACUGGAGGGCUGAGGAGUGGAGACAGGAAAAACCUGCCAACUAAAUAUUUGAUUUGCAUUCAUUGUUUGGAGAAAAAUAUUUCUGACUAUAAGUUUUCUUAAUAUAAAGCUUGAACCACUUAAUAUUUGGCCGUUUCUUUCUAAUUACUGCGGCGCCUCUGGUGGCCGUACCGAGAAGUAAAAUACAUCACAUUGUUGCGGAAGGUUUGUUUAAUUUAUAAUGAAAGUUUCAUCAGUAUUGAUGCUCACGUUCAAAAGUUAUCGAAAAUGGAACGCGAGAGAUGGAAACAAAUUUUGCACACUUACUUUGGAAUUCCAACAUGGUCAGGAGGAAUGAUUUCAAAGUACAGCCAAACCUCCAUGAGUCGAUAUUGAAGGGACCAUCGACUCAUAGAAAUAUCGAGAUGCAGAAUAGAAAAUCCUUGGAAAGCAAUUUGGAGGGACCAUCACAGUAACCCAGAAAAUAUGUUUUAGUAUGGAAUAAUUUGCUUCCAUGAGUCGAUAUCGAGUCAUAGAACAUCGACUCAUGGAGGUUUAACUGUAUCUAAAAAAACGAAAACUGUCAAACGUUAUCGGGAAACACUAUUGCUGGAUCUUGUAGAACAAAACAACCGUAGAAAUGGAACAUACGACCAGAGACUACAAGCGAAAGUCUGCAGAGUAGCUCGGAACAAUUCUGGGAUUUCCUUGCGUGAUUUAGUGAAAAGAUUCACUGCGCCGUGUAGUGCAGCUCAAAUAAUCUUUCGGCACGAAGGUUUCAAGUCGUAUGAUGUCAGUAAGCAUCCCAACAGGACCCUGAAACAGAACCAGGCUGCCAAACAUCGCGCAAGAAUGCUGGUCGAGCAAGUUCUGACGAAAUACAAUUGAUGUAUUUUGAUGGGCAAUGAAAUCAAUAUUAAAAUGGACUUUCAAUUCCCGGGACACAAGUUUCACCUUGCCAAACGGAAGGGUAAUGCCCCAGGUAAAUUCAAAUAUGUCUAUGCAGGCAAGAUUGCCCACAAAUUGAUGGUAUGUCAAAGCAUCUGCAGUUGUGGCAAGAAAACUAAGUUUUCAUCACUUGAGCGACCAUAAAUGGGCAAAUAUACAAGGAUGAGUGUCUUCAGAAGCGAUUUUUGUCAUCCAUUCAAUCACACGACUGUCCGGUGUUGCUUUGGCCUGACUUAACAAGCUGCCAAUACAGACGGGAAGUAAUGGAAUGGUUUGAACCGAAUGAUAAUGACGUUAUUGAAAAAUACUAGCAACCUACCAACAUGCCAAAAUUUUCGUCCCAACGAAAAAUAUUAGACAAUUAUCAGAUGGAAACUUAAGAAAUGGUGCAAAACAAUCAGAAAACCAUCUUAUAUGGAGAAGUGGUGUGAAAAAAUGGCAGAUAAAGUUGACCGUUCUACUGUGCAAAAAAUAACGAGUGGUAUUGAAAAAAAGUCCGAGAAUUCAUCCGAAAUGCCAAUGAAUAACUAAUCGAUACUAGCAGACCCGACGAACUCCGUUUCGCCCAAAAUUGAGGCAUGAAGAAUUAGGUGUUUCAUUUGUAUAGGAGCCCCCCUUUUCAAAGUGGGGAGGGGUCUCGAACCAUUUUAAGAACCUUCCCCGGCCCCAAAAACUUUUGCAUACAGAUUUUCACGCCGAUCGGUUCAGUAGUUUCGGAGUCUAUAAGGUUCAGACAGACAGAAAUUCAUUUUUAUGUAUAUAGAGAAGAGAUUUUUUCCUCCAAAGUUUACUAAAUUCCCUGUAUAAUAAAACCUGAACUACCUUUUUAUGUACUUUUUCGGCAUAGAAAUGUCUAAUAUCGUGCGGCCAAAUACUAAGUGGAUCAAGCUUUAAGAAUCAAAUCCAAAUUGGUCCAUUGUUUUUUUUUUUUGGAUUCCUGGUUCUGAGAGCAAUUCCGAUAGCCUACAUCAUCAUUGAGAUUUAUGUGACCCAACCAGAGCUUAAAAUAUUCAUCUUCAUGAAGCAACUUCGGUCCGAAUUUUGACAAACAUCGCAUGAAUAUUCAAAACAUAGAAUGACAUAGUCAGACGACUACUCCACGAACUCAUUCAUUCGACUGUCACUGAAUGUGUUUACUAUGUGCAGAAAAAAACAUAAUUAGCAUUGUUUAUGUUGAUGUUUACCGUUGAAAGUGCCUCGCGGAUGAAAAUCGGAUUCAGUCCUGUAUGAUAAAUCACUUUACUCAUUUGUAACGUGUUCAGAUUUCAGAUAAUUUAUCAAUUUGUAAAAUGUGCAUAAAUAUUCAAUGACUAAUAUUCAACUGAAUAUUGACUGUCCAGAGCCGACUAUGAAUGUGUCGGAAGUGAACUGACAAAUGAAAAAAAAAAAUGGACUUCACCAAAAAUUUUCGAUUAUUUUACACUCUGGACCCAACUAUGUCCAGAAGUUCCUCCAAACCAACAACAGACCCAGUCCAGAGUUGAAUUUUCUUGAUUCGAAUAGGUCCGAGGGUGAUUUCGGCCAUCAACAAACCAACGCAAGAGUUGGGGUUUUCUUAAUCCGAAUAAAUAGGCCCUAGAUCCAUUUUGCCUAAUGAUCAACUCACUCCAGAGUUGGAUUUCAUUUACCCAACCAGGUCCCAUCCAGAAUAAGAUAGUUUUGACUUCAGGCCUCUAGUUUUGACCUAUGACUCGAUCCAGUAAGCACCAAAAAACGCACUCUAGAUUUGGAUUUUUCUUGAUCUGAAUAGAUCGGAUAUCGAUUCCGACCAUUUGCUGGCCCAUUUCAAAAUUGUAUUUCUUUGACCCAACUAGAUCUUUUAGAGUACGUGGAUUCACAAAAAAAAACCGACAUAUUCAAACUUCGGACACUUUGUAUAGGAAAUUUUCUUCGAAAUGUUUUAUCACGAUUCUAACCUAUUUUAGUACAGUUGCAUUAUAGUAAAUAGGGUUUUUUCGCCAAAUGUUGAACGGCUAAUUUCCUCGCCUAUUGUAUUUCUUAUGGGAGUUCAACAAUAGGCGACAGCUUUAGCCGUUCAACAUUUGGCGGUUUCCCCUAAUGUUAAUUCAAUGCGAAGUGUUUGAAAGUCAGUCGGAACUAUCCAGUUAAAUUUAUUUGCAAUAAUUUUUUUUGGUACCGUGGAUCAGGUGUCCGAAAUACGAAUCCAAUGUGGGCUGCUGUCCGAAGUCUGAAUCAAACAGUAGUUAAACAUUUUCGCAAUAAUUCGUACAUAUACAAAUCGAAUUCCAAAGGUGAGUGCAGUAUUUCAGCUCAACUUUUACGCGCUGUU